rnacentral:lncRNA from 1 species
UGACAAUGGAUUCUGUAAAUGGGCAGUUGACGCUGGCAGGGAUGUCGAGAGACAUAGAAAACCUCAGAGGGCUAGUGGAUUGUAUUAUUCAGAAGGCAACGAAUCAGUUUGAGCGAGAGACGAAAAGUGUUUCAGGGGAAAUGGAUUUGCCUCCUGACGGGUUUAAACUCCUGCAACUUUCAAAGGGCGUACCACCUGUUGACACCCAAUAUGCUGAUGGAAAGAAAACUCAAUCCCAGUCUCAAGAUCAUCAAGAUGAAGAUCCCAGUGCCUCUGGUUCUAUUGAAGUUCAGGAGGAGAGGGUUGAAGACUCCUAUCGGCCCAACGCUGUUGUUGUGGAGAACAUCGCUGAAGACAUGACAAGGGAGCUUCUUGGACUGAUAGUGGACAACAUCACUGGUAUUUCUGAGGAUGACUACAGUAUGGAGCUGAUCUAUGAGUCUUGUGUUGCUGUUGUAACAUUCACUCACCCUGAUGGUAUGUCUUUAGUUCUGUUUAAUUUGCUU